AUUUUAUAAAUAACAUGAAAGAAAUGUUUAAAAAAAUCGCCACACUGUAAACAGUUUGAGGGUGAUUUAAAUGUGGCCAGUUAAAAAAUAAACUACUUUAUUAUGUUUCUGAAACAAUAUUUAAAAUAUAGACAUCGUUCUUUUCUAUUGAUAAUUGGUUUGCUAUAAUAAAACUAUAUUAUGAUAACUACAUAGUCUCUACUAUGUUUUGAUAAUUAGGUAAUAAUUUAUUUACCAACUCAGAACUCAGUUUAUGCCAUACUCUUUUACUCUAUUGUAUAAUCUGUGGUUGGUGGUUGUAGACUAUAGACUACUUUGGGCUCACUUCGCUUCAUAGAUUUAGAAUUACAUAGAUGUGACACUCAUCUUACCAUAGACAUAACGAACGAGACAAAUAAUCCAAGAUUCUGCUAAGUGCAAAAGAGACGCAUAUAUUAUUUUUUGUCCCUUUCACCGUCCCUGCUUUUUUUUGUUUGACUUGAUUAAGAUGAGUUAAACAUUGUGUGACGUCAUGGCGAUGUUUUAGUUUGUGCUGCUGAGAAUUCUUGAGUUUUCAAUUGAAAUUAGUUCGUUAAUCUUAUAUAAAACACAAGUUUUUAAUCUAGGAAUAUUCCAUCACUAGUAUUAUCAUGGUGCAGUGUUAUGUUUUAGGCUGUAAAAGCCGCACUGAAAGAAAAAUUGAAAACAUAACCUUUCAUAUGUAAGUUGAAAAUUAAACCUUUAUACUGAAGUAAUUACGUGUUCAAAUAGUAAAUAUGGUUAGUUAUAAUCACUAGUGUUCUCAAUUGCAUGGGAAAUACGUUCCAUCAUUACAAAAUCGAAUCAACAAAUUCGUGUUUUUUUUUGUAUUAACCGACUAUUACAGAAUGUCAUCAGAGUCCACGUCAGUGAUGAUUUUAUGCGACAUUUCAAUUUAGCCGGGUUUCAACCAUUUUAGGGAUACCACUUAAAUUUCAAAUAAAUUACCCACUUUCGUGGGAAAAUAUUUUUGUUUUCAAAUCAUCAACAUCGGCUUAGCCUUUUGUUUUGAAGUCAACAAAAUAUAUAGCUUAUUGGGUUCUGUUAUUUAAAUAAGUAAAUGUAAGGUAAUAAUUUGUUUCUGAUAAAAUGUGACUUUAGAUGAUGCUUUAUUUCACAAUUUAGCAUAAUUUUUCACUUGUAUCCAAAUCUUGCCUUUCUCAGGUUUCCUAAAGAUGAGAUUGUUCGAGCCAUGUGAAUAAAGGCUACUGGGCGGCAAAAUUGGCAGCCUAACUCAUACUCUCGCGUUUGUUCGAACCAUUUUGAGACUAAUUUAUUUCGCAAAACUGCACAUAGAGUUUAUUUAGAUAAGUUUGCAGUUCCAAAGUUGUUUAUACAUAAUGAAGCUGAAGUUGAUAAAUUUCAACACGGCACAAUGUUAAUGGUAAAUCUUUUUACAGCAAAAACUUCUGUAAUAAGUUAUUUUUUGGUUGAUCAGGCUAAUAAAUACCAUCCACAAGAAAAAAAUGUGUGGAAUGUAGGAUUCAAUACCGAACAGUCACACUGUAUACAGUAAUGUGUACUGGGUGAAACUUAUUAUCUUUAUUUGUAAUUUAUGUCAAGCAAGGGGUUUUUUGGGGUGCCAGGCAGAAAACCUCCUCGCGUGCCUGGUGGCUGCUGGUCCUUUACGGAUACGUCCGGGGGGAAGAGCAGUCACUGGGCCGGUGCACCCUGGGCACGCAUAAUAAUUGUCUGGCGACUUGGCGGCGAUUGUUGUGCGUGGCGAAUUUCUGCCGCGGAAUCUGUUAGGGACUUAUAUUUAUCGCGCUAUUUUGUUUUUUAUUUUUAUUUCAGGAUCAGCAACAGAGUGUUAUUCCCAAUACUUCCCAACAUAAUAAUGAAAUUGCCAAUCCUGUAAUUGCCAUUAAUUGUACUACCGACCGUAACAAAUUAAUUGACGAUGAGAAAGUUCUCCAGGAGAUGUCCCCUUUGGAGACGAACAUUAUUCCAGAAGAUCAUGAUUAUAUUGCUAAUCCCACAAUUUUAACAGAAUUUUCAAAAUCAAUAAUCGUGUACAUAGCCGGUUUUGUUGUAAAAUCAUUAAAAACACAACUAACCUGUGAAGAGUGUGUGUCCUUUUUAAUAUCUGAUAAUAAAGAGAAAACCACUCUUCAGUACAAAAAAGACAAGGGUGGUCUACAUUACCCAUCAAUAUCAGUAGUAAAGCUUUGUGAAAUAUCAGAACAAAUUUUUAAGAAAUUUAAUAUGUUAAACAAUAAGGAUAUGCUUAAUUUUCUUCUGCAGCAGUGCUUAAAAAAAUGUGUGGGACAUAAUUUUUUUAAUGAUCACCUUAAUAAUAAUGAGCAUUUUAGAACUAACCACCAUUACGUAUUAUUAAUUAAAGCAA